rnacentral:sRNA from 1 species
GUGAUCUUGGUGGACCUAUUAUUACUACACAAGUAACUAUUCCCAAAGAUGUAAGUAUCUUUAAUACUACCAGGAACAUUUUGUCACUUUUAUGAUUAUUCCUCCUUUCUGUAUAUUUUUUAAUUCAGAAGGUUUUAACAAAAAUACACAUUUAGGAUUGAGGUUAUGUUAAUGGACUUUAGUGAGCUGGGUUUUCUGCUGUUUGAGUCUUGUCAAGUGAUCAGUGCUAUUAAUAAAAGUAGUUAAGAGGGUUUUGAGCCCUUAAUUAACUAAGGGAAACAUUAGUGUGACAUAAAUACAUUAUAACUCAAACCUAGACAGGUUUAGGGAGCGUUAGAUAAUCAGUUAAGAGUCUGAAUGAAUAAAAUUAAUACAUUUCAUGCUCCUUGAAAAUACAGGUAGUAAAUGUUAAAAGUAUAUCGUAAACACAUACUUUUAAAAAAUCUUUUCAGUUGGCUGGAUCUAUUAUUGGCAAAGGUGGUCAGCGGAUUAAACAAAUCCGUCAUGAGUCGGGAGCUUCGAUCAAAAUUGAUGAGCCUUUAGAAGGAUCCGAAGAUCGGAUCAUUACCAUUACAGGAACACAGGACCAGAUACAGAAUGCACAGUAUUUGCUGCAGAACAGUGUGAAGCAGUAUGCAGAUGUUGAAGGAUUCUAAUGCAAGAUAUUUUUUCUUUUUUAUAGUGUGAAGCAGUAUUCUGGAAAGUUUUUCUAAGACUAGUGAAGAACUGAAGGAGUCCUGCAUCUUUUUUUUUUUAUCUGCUUCUGUUUAAAAAGCCAACAUUCCUCUGCUUCAUAGGUGUUCUGCAUUUGAGGUGUAGUGAAAUCUUUGCUGUUCACCAGAUGUAAUGUUUUAGUUCCUUACAA